GCCAUGCAUGUCUAAGUACAUACAUUAAUAAAAAGUGAAACCGCAAAAGGCUCAUUAUAUCAGUUAUGGUUUCUUAGAUCGUUAACAGUUACUUGGAUAACUGUGGUAAUUCUAGAGCUAAUACAUGCAACAAUAAAAAAAAAAGGGCGUGUGCUUUUAUUAGGCUAAAACCAAGAUCGUUAAAAUGGUUGAACUCUAGAUAACUAUCGCAGAUCGUAUGGUCUUGUACCGACGACAUAUCUUUCAAAUGUCUGCCCUAUCAACUUUUGAUGGUAGUAUUUAGGACUACCAUGGUUGCAACGGGUAACGGGGAAUCAGGGUUCGAUUCCGGAGAGGGAGCCUGAGAAACGGCUGCCACAUCUAAGGAAGGCAGCAGGCGCGUAAAUUACCCACUCCCAGCUCGGGGAGGUAGUGACGAAAAAUAACAAUACAGGACUCAUAUUUGAGUUCCUGUAAUUGGAAUGAGUACACUUUAAAUCCUUUAACAAGGACCUAUUGGAGGGCAAGUCUGGUGCCAGCAGCCGCGGUAACCCCAGCUCCAAUAGCGUAUAUUAAAGUUGUUGCGGUUAAAACGUUCGUAGUUGAACUUGUGCUUCAUACGGGUAGUAUAUCUCAAUAUGUAGCAUAUACUAUACCUUAUGUAUGUAAGCGUAUUAUCGGUGGAAAGAAACCUACUUCAAUGCUCUUUAUCGAGUGUUGUUGUGGGCCGAUACAAUUACUUUGAACAAAUUAGAGUGCUUAAAGCAGGCUCAUAAUGCCCAAAUUUUUGUGCAUGGGAUAAUGAAAUAAGACCUCUGUUCUACUUUCAUUGGUUUUUAGAUCAAGAGGUAAUGAUUAAUAGAAGCAGUUUGGGGGCAUUAGUAUUACGACGCGAGAGGUGAAAUUCUUGGACCGUCGUAAGACUAACUUAAGCGAAAGCAUUUGCCAAAGAUGUUUUCAUUAAUCAAGAACGAAAGUUAGAGGUUCGAAGGCGAUCAGAUACCGCCCUAGUUCUAACCAUAAACGAUGCCAGCUAGCAAUUGGGUGUAGCUAAUAUUAUGGCUCUCUCAGUCGCUUCCCGGGAAACCAAAGCUUUUGGGCUCCGGGGGAAGUAUGGUUGCAAAGCUGAAACUUAAAGGAAUUGACGGAAGGGCACCACCAGGAGUGGAGCCUGCGGCUUAAUUUGACUCAACACGGGAAAACUUACCAGGUCCGAACAUAAGCGUGUAAGACAGAUUGAUAGCUCUUUCUCGAAUCUAUGGGUGGUGGUGCAUGGCCGUUCUUAGUUCGUGGAGUGAUUUGUCUGGUUAAUUCCGAUAACGAACGAGACUCAAAUAUAUUAAAUAGAUGCUUUCAGGAUUAUGACGUUGAAACUUUUAUAACCUUCAUUUAUAAGUUCGAAUGUGUUUAUAAAAGUGGAGUCGUACCUGUUGGUUUGUCCCAUUAUAGGAUACUAGCUUCUUAAAUGGACAAAUUGCGUCUAGCAAUAAUGAGAUUGAGCAAUAACAGGUCUGUGAUGCCCUUAGAUGUCCUGGGCUGCACGCGCGCUACAAUGAAAGUAUCAACGUGUAUUUCCUAGACCGAGAGGUCCGGGUAAACCGAUGAAUCACUUUCAUGCUUGGGAUUGUGAACUGCAACUGUUCACAUGAACUUGGAAUUCCCAGUAAGUGCGAGUCAUUAACUCGCAUUGAUUACGUCCCUGCCCUUUGUACACACCGCCCGUCGCUACUACUGAUUGAAUUAUUUAGUGAGGUUUUCGGACAUGAUUACUGUAACAUAAUAAUAUUAUAUUGUGUUAUGGAUGUAUCGCGAAAG
rnacentral:rRNA from 1 species